GGUGAGUAACACGUGGAUAACCUACCUAUAAGACUGGGAUAACUUCGGGAAACCGGAGCUAAUACCGGAUAAUAUUUUGAACCGCAUGGUUCAAAAGUGAAAGACGGUCUUGCUGCCACUUAUAGAUGGAUUCGCGCUGCAUUAGCUAGUUGGUAAGGUAACGGCUUACCAAGGCAACGAUGCAUAGCCGACCUGAGAGGGUGAUCGGCCACACUGGAACUGAGACACGGUCCAG
rnacentral:rRNA from 1 species